CCUACGGGGGGCUGCAGUGGGGAAUUUUCCGCAAUGGGCGAAAGCCUGACGGAGCAAUACCGCGUGAGGGAGGAAGGCUCUUGGGUUGUAAACCUCUUUUCUUAGGGAAGAAUUUAAUGACGGUACCUGAGGAAUAAGCAUCGGCUAACUCCGUGCCAGCAGCCGCGGUAAUACGGAGGAUGCAAGCGUUAUCCGGAAUGAUUGGGCGUAAAGCGUCCGCAGGUGGCUGUGUAAGUCUGCUGUUAAAGAAUCUGGCUCAACCAGAUAAAGGCAGU
rnacentral:rRNA from 1 species